CCUUUGCGACCCCAGGUCAGGNGGG
rnacentral:rRNA from 1 species